rnacentral:tRNA from 1 species
UGUGGGUAUGGGGCAGUCUGGUCAGCCUACUCCUUUUGGAAAGGAGAUGCCGAUGGUUCGAAUCCAUCUACCCGCACUUU